rnacentral:rRNA from 1 species
UAUUGCACAAUGGGCGCAAGCCUGAUGCAGCCAUGCCGCGUGUGUGAAGAAGGCCUUCGGGUUGUAAAGCACUUUCAGUCAGGAGGAAAGGUUAGUAGUUAAUACCUGCUAGCUGUGACGUUACUGACAGAAGAAGCACCGGCUAACUCCGUGCCAGCAGCCGCGGUAAUACGGAGGGUGCGAGCGUUAAUCGGAAUUACUGGGCGUAAAGCGUACGCAGGCGGUUUGUUAAGCGAGAUGUGAAAGCCCCGGGCUCAACCUGGGAACUGCAUUUCGAACUGGCAAACUAGAGUGUGAUAGAGGGUGGUAGAAUUUCAGGUGUAGCGGUGAAAUGCGUAGAGAUUUGAAGGAAUACCGAUGGCGAAGGCAGCCACCUGGGUCAACACUGACGCUCAUGUACGAAA